rnacentral:SRP_RNA from 1 species
GCCGGGCCUGGUGGUGUGUGCCUGUAGUCCCAGCUACUUGGGAGGCUGAGGCUGGAGGAUCGCUUGAGUCCAGGAGUUCUGGGCUGUAGUGUGCUAUGCUGAUCGGGUGUCCACACUAAGUUUGGCAUCAAUAUGGUUACCUCCCGGGAGUAGGGGACUACCAGGUUGCCUAAGGAGGGGUGAACCUGCCCAGGUCAGAAACAGGAGCAGGUCAAAACUCCUGUGCUGAUCAGUAGUGGGAUCGUGUCUGUGAACAGCCACUGCACUCCAGCCUGGGCAACACAGCAAGACCUCAUCUCU